rnacentral:rRNA from 1 species
UACAGAGGGUGCGAGCGUUAAUCGGAAUUACUGGGCGUAAAGCGCGCGUAGGCGGCUUUGCAAGUCGGGUGUGAAAUCCCCAGGCUUAACCUGGGAACUGCAUUCGAGACUGCAUUGCUAGAGUAUGGGAGAGGGAAGUGGAAUUCCCGGUGUAGUGGUGAAAUGCGUAGAUAUCGGGAGGAACACCAGUGGCGAAGGCGGCUCACUGGCCCGGUACUGACGCUGAGGUGCGAAAGCGUGGGGAGCAAACAGG